GAUGAAUGCUGGCGGCGUGCCUAACACAUGCAAGUCGAGCGACAGCGCGAGUAGUUUACUACUUGGCGGCGAGCGGCGGACGGCUGAGUAACGCGUGGGAACAUGCCCCAAAGUGAGGGAUAACUGCUCGAAAGGGUAGCUAAUACCGCAUAUGGUCUUCGGAUUAAAGGAUUUAUCCGCUUUGGGAGUGGCCUGCGUACGAUUAGAUAGUUGGUGAGGUAAUGGCUCACCAAGGCGACGAUCGUUAACUGGUCUGAGAGGAUGAUCAGUCAGACUGGAACUGAGACACGGUCCAGACUCCUACGGGAGGCAGCAGUGAGGAAUCUUCCACAAUGGGCGAAAGCCUGAUGGAGCAACGCCGCGUGCAGGAUGAAGGCCUUCGGGUCGUAAACUGCUUUUAUGAGUGAAGAAUAUGACGGUAACUCAUGAAUAAGCACCGGCUAACUACGUGCCAGCAGCCGCCGUA
rnacentral:rRNA from 1 species